GACGAACGCUGGCGGCGUGCUUAACACAUGCAAGUCGAACGGUAAGGCCCUUUGGGGUACACGAGUGGCGAACGGGUGAGUAACACGUGGGUGAUCUGCCCUGCACUUCGGGAUAAGCCUGGGAAACUGGGUCUAAUACCGGAUAGGACCACUGCCUGCAUGGGUGGUGGUGGAAAGCUUUUGCGGUGUGGGAUGGGCCCGCGGCCUAUCAGCUUGUUGGUGGGGUGAUGGCCUACCAAGGCGACGACGGGUAGCCGGCCUGAGAGGGUGACCGGCCACACUGGGACUGAGAUACGGCCCAGACUCCUACGGGAGGCAGCAGUGGGGAAUAUUGCACAAUGGGCGCAAGCCUGAGGCAGCGACGCCGCGUGAGGGAUGACGGCCUUCGGGUUGUAAACCUCUUUCAGCACCGACGAAGCGCAAGUGACGGUAGGUGCAGAAGAAGGACCGGCCAACUACGUGCCAGCCGCCACGGUAA
rnacentral:rRNA from 1 species